rnacentral:rRNA from 1 species
CAGUAGCCGCGGGAAUACAGAGGGUGCAAGCGUUAAUCGGAAUUACUGGGCGUAAAGCGCGCGUAGGUGGUUUGUCAAGUUGGAUGUGAAAGCCCCGGGCUCAACCUGGGAAUUGCAGUGGAUACUGGGUCACUAGAGUGUGGUAGAGGAUAGUGGAAUUUCCGGUGUAGCAGUGAAAUGCGUAGAGAUCGGAAGGAACAUCUGUGGCGAAGGCGACUAUCUGGGCCAACACUGACACUGAGGCACGAAAGCGUGGGGAGCAAACAGGAUUAGAUACCCCAGUAGUCCCUGUCUCUUAUAC